GGGGAAUAUUGCACAAUGGGGGAAACCCUGAUGCAGCGACGCCGCGUGAGUGAAGAAGUAUUUCGGUAUGUAAAGCUCUAUCAGCAAGGAAGAUAAUGACGGUACUUGACUAAGAAGCCCCGGCUAACUACGUGCCAGCAGCCGCGGUAAUACGUAGGGGGCAAGCGUUAUCCGGAUUUACUGGGUGUAAAGGGAGCGUAGGUGGCAUGGCAAGUCAGAUGUGAAAGCCCAGGGCUCAACCCUGGGACUGCAUUUGAAACUGUCAAGCUAGAGUGCAGGAGAGGUAAGUGGAAUUCCUAGUGUAGCGGUGAAAUGCGUAGAUAUUAGGAGGAACACCAGUGGCGAAGGCGGCUUACUGGACUGUAACUGACACUGAGGCUCGAAAGCGUGGGGAGCAAAC
rnacentral:rRNA from 1 species